CGGCUGAGUUUUUACUUCCAAUGUCUCAAUUCGUAUGACAUCCCACCUCAGGAAAAUCGAGUGAAUCUUGGCGGACUGCAGUGACGUAUACCAAAAAACUGGAUUGUUUACGCAGUACAGUAAUAACGCAGUUUUGAGUCACUUAUUUUGAAUUUAGAUUCUGAGCACAGCUAGAAAUGUAUUAGUUUUACCAUUAUGGGUGUUUUUUAUGAACUUUG